GAUGAACGCUGGCGGCGUGCCUAAUACAUGCAAGUCGAGCGAACAGACGAGGAGCUUGCUCCUCUGACGUUAGCGGUGGACGGGUGAGUAACACGUGGAUAACCUACCUAUAAGACUGGGAUAACUUCGGGAAACCGGAGCUAAUACCGGAUAACAUGCUGAACCGCAUGGUUCAACAGUGAAAGACGGUCUUGCUGUCACUUAUAGAUGGAUCCGCGCCGCAUUAGCUAGUUGGUAGGGUAACGGCCUACCAAGGCUACGAUGCGUAGCCGACCUGAGAGAGGGAUCGGCCACACUGGAGGUGAGACACGGACCAGAGUCCUACGAGAGGCAGCAGUAGGGAAUCUUACGCAAUAGGCGAAAGCCUGACGGAGCGACGGCACGUGAGUGAAGGAGAUCUUCGGAUCGUAAAACUGUGUUAUUGGGGAAGAACAAAUGUGUAAGUAACUAUGCACGUCUUGACGGUACCUAAUCAGAAAGCCACGGCUAACUACGUG
rnacentral:rRNA from 1 species